AUGGCGUCGUGGUCCGACCUCCCGCUGGAUCUCCUCGGCAUCGUCAUCGCCUGUUUCGGCACUUUGCCUGUCGACCGUGUGCGCUUUGCCGCCGUCUGUCGAUCGUGGCAUGCCGCCGUGCGCCGCCACGAGCGACGUCGCCUGCCGUGGGUCAUGUCAUGGGACGACCGCGUCAUGAUCCCCUUCGACGGCUCCGAGUAUAACCUUCUAUGCUUCCCCGAAGACGGCGUCGGGGUCGUCGGCUCCACGGACUCCUGGCUUGCCGUCGGCCUCGGCACCAAGCAGGAGUUCGAGGAGGGGAGCAGGUGCAUCUACACCGGCUACGUCCUGCACAACCCCUUCUCCAACACGACCGUGCCGCUCACCGUGCUCAACGACGUCAUCAUCAACAUUGGGACCUGCUUGAUCUACAAGUUCCUCAUGCGCUCCACUGUCGAUGACUUCGUCGCCGUCGUGGCAAACAAUGAGAACUACCCGAUCAUUGUGUUUCGGCAAGGGACAGGAGCGUGGGUGCCACGCCCGUGCACGGCUCCCUACAUCAACAUCAUCGAUGUGGCGUUUUUGGGAAGCACACUCUACGCCAUAACCAAGGUUGAGGACCUGAUCCCACUCAAUCUUGCAUUGGAUGGCGAUGGCAAGCCCCUAGUCACCAUUGGCAAGCGUGUUAUCAGGCAACCACCAGGUUAUGAUGGUUAUGAUGCGUGGAACACUUCCGAUGAUGAUGAUGAAGAUCAUAGUGAUGAUGAGAGAGAUGAAGAAGAUGGUGACGACGGUAAUGAUACAGAAGAGGAGGACGUGCCUGACCACGAUGGGGAUAUAGAAGAGGAUGGGAACGAGGAUCACCAGGAGCAGGAGAUAGCUCUCGAUGGCGAGGUGCCCCCAGACGAUGAUGGCAGCCAUCAUUCAAGUUUCUCGGGUGAAUUUACACAUGGCAAAGUAACUGGCGAGUUCAUCAUUAUUUCACGACAUCUCAUCGUGUCAUCCGGAAAACUCAUGGUGAGGCGGCAUAAAUACUAUACGGUUUCCAUAUGUACUCGUCGUGUGGAAAUAUUGGAGGCGGAUGCAAGCACGGGCGCAUGGGUGCCAUUGGAUGUUAGCGAUGGGUUAGGCGGCGGCCGGGCACUCUUCAUUAGCAUGAAUUUCUCUAAGUCCGUUUCAGCGCCUUGUGGAGAGAUCGAGGAGGAUGUCAUUUAUGAUAUCGACACUGGCGAGCUGUUUGAUAUGAAGACUCAGACUUCGAGACAAAAAAGAUUUUGUACACCUUCCCAGGGGAUAACUUGGCUCUUCCCUCCAGAGUUGGUGCUAUGA
rnacentral:rRNA from 1 species